rnacentral:misc_RNA from 1 species
AAGUCGUAACAAGGUUUCGUAGGUGCACCUGCGGAAGAUCAUUAACGCGUAUCCAACGUUAAACCCCUGUGAACUUUUACACUUGCUCUCGAAGCUCGCCGGAAUUGCAAUCCCUGGUAAAUCAUUGUUGAACAGAUUUUGAUUCAGGGACCUCAGUUUGGUGAUCCGAGCGAUCGUUGCAAGUGGCCUGCAGUCAGUGUCUGUAAGUGUCAUUGAUUGUGUAAGGAUAACGCUUUUCGAUCACUAGAGGCCGACACCGGCCGGUGAGUAGCUUCGGCCCCUAUAUUCACCCCACUAGUAGGAAACUGCUGGGCAUCAAAACGAACAACUGUUAACAAUGGAUAUCUUCGUUCUC